ACGUAGGGGGCGAGCGUUAUUCGGAAUUACUGGGUGUAAAGGGUAUGUAGGCGGCCCUUCAAGUCGCGUGUCAAAGUCCAGUGCUCAACGCUGGGUGUGCACUUGAUACUGUCGGUCUUGAGUACUGUAGAGGUAAGCGGAAUUCCCGGUGUAGUGGUGAAAUGCUUAGAGAUCACGCAGAACACCGACGGCGCAGGCAGCUUACUAGUCAGUUUCUGACGCUAAUGUACGAAAGCGUGGGGAUCAAACAG
rnacentral:rRNA from 1 species